GCCCUUGGCUCAGUAACACGUAGCUAACCUGCCCUAUAGUCCGUAAUAACCUCGGGAAACUGAGGGUAAUGACGGAUAAAAGAUUUAUUCUGGAAUGAUUAAUCUUUGAAAACUAACGAUAGGAUGGGGCUGCGGCCGAUUAGGUAGUUGGCGGGGUAACUGCCCACCAAGCCAAUGAUCGGUAAGGGCUCUUAGCGGAGAGGCCCUGAGAGGGAGUCUGAGACACUACUCCCAGCCCUACGGGGUGCAGCAGUCGGGAAACUUCUGCAAUGCGCGAAAGCGUGACAGAGCAAGCCAAAGUGAUUUUCCAUUAUGGAACAUCUUUUGUGAGAUGCAAAAAGUCUCACGAAUAAGGACUGGGCAAGACUGGUGCCAGCCGCCGCGGUAAUCCCAGCAGUCCAAGUCGCAACCACAUUUAUUGGGUCUAAAACAUUCGUAGCUUGCAUUGUAAGUCUUUUGUGAAAUCGGGACUCUUAAAGUUCCGGCGAGCAAAAGAUACUGCUUUGCUAGAGACCGGAAGACGUAAGGAGUACGAACGGGGUAGCGGUAAAAUGUGCUGAUCCUGUUCGGACUAACAACAGCGAAGGCACCUUACGAGCACGGAUCUGACAGCGAGGAAUGAAGGCUAGGGGCGCAAAUUGGAUUAGAUACCCAAGUAGUCCUAGCAGUAAACACUGCACACUAAACAUUGGUGCCUCUUCGAGAGG
rnacentral:rRNA from 1 species